rnacentral:rRNA from 1 species
UACGUAGGUGGCAAGCGUUGUCCGGAUUUACUGGGCGUAAAGAGCGCGCAGGCGGUCGUUCAAGUCGCGUGUGAAAAUCUCCCCGCUUAACUGGGAGGGUGCGCCGAAGACUGGAAGGCUUGAGUAUGGGAGAGGUAAGCGGAAUUCCUGGUGUAGCGGUGAAAUGCGCAGAUAUCAGGAGGAACACCCGUGGCGAAGGCGGCUCUCUGGGACGGUACUGACGCUGAGACGGCGAAAAGCGUGGGGAGCAAACAG